UUGGCAUAUCUGUUUAAACAAAACAUCCCCAUUUACAAACUUUCGAAUAUUUGUUUAAGUAAUUCAUCUUAUGUUCCUGGUUUUCUUAGAGUUCUGCCUAUGUACAAAAUUUUAUAGUUAUCAUAACCCUCAAUGUUCGUUCUUACAUUAUUCAAUGACAUAAAUUAAUUUAAUUGGAACUCUCAAAUUUUGAGAAAGACAAUGUAAACAAAAUGUUGAUGAGGCAACAAGCAUACCGUAGUCUUACUUUAUAUUCCUUUUUUCAGAAAAAGGACAUGGUCCCCAUCUACUUCAUUAAGAUCCUUCAAGAAGUGCAGCAAGGAUUCCAAAAGGGGAGAGGAGUGAAGACAAGAGAGAGUUGAAAAAAGAAAGCACAACAAACGAGACCCAAGGGUGGACUGUUGAGACAGUCUUCUGGUGAAGAACAAUAAACCUGCUCUUGAUGAGAUUUAAGGCAUGGUGAGAAUACCAUGGGCAUUGCUAACUUGCUAUAUGAAUAUUUUUCUGUUUUCUUUUUUUUUUUUUUUGCAAGUUGGAUGAAUGAAAGCUACAUGAGUAUAAACUCAUCAACAGUGGUCAUGAAAUAAGAUUUCACAACCGUUUUCUCUUUAUUCAAAUGGCCUAGCAAACUGCGGCGAUCACUUGGUCCCAUGCUGCCAUGGAUUUUGGGAGCUUUGUGGCUUUUAUUUCUUGGUUCGAGAGUAGUUGGAUUGUUGUUUGGGAGUAGAGGUGAUGUUCCUCCAGGUAUGUCUACCAAAGCGGUAAUGGAGCAAAAGAUGAUUAAUGUUUUCAGUCCUUAGCAAGAAUUUCUCUGAUAUGAAAAUUUUUGAGGAAAAGCAAGGAAGAAGUAAGGUGGAGCUGAUCCCAGCCUAAAUUAUACAGGGGAGAAAAGCCAUUUUAUUCAGGACAGAGGUGAGGGAGCAAAUUAGAGACGACUGUGAAAGAGGAAGGAGACAGCUGGGUGGGAGUGUGGAAAUCUAAUCCAACACUAGUGGAUCAGGAUUGGAUGCUUACCUAAUUUGGAUUAGUUUGGUGAAGACUCGUUUGGUCCCUAAUCGGAGGGUCCUUUAUUGGAGAAUCUUCGGCGAGCAUGGACUUUUGUUUCAAGUUUCUAAGGAGCUUCAUCCUCAGCCCAACAUCGAGCUCCAGACCGAUAGGCGAUAGACCUCCUCUACUUCUACUUAGAGAUCAGCAGCAGCAAAUUAAUACUAGAGAAAAUGUAUUCUCUAUCUAAUUUUGAAGGGAGGAGAAAUAGUGAGAACGAGAGUACAGAGUACUUCUCUUGCUUCCCACCAUCAAUCAUCUCAGUAGAUCCAAUUGAAUGCGCAGCCAUUGAAGGUAGGUCUAAUGCAGCCCAUGGUAGCAGUGGACUUAUAGUAGUUUGAAGCCCUGGUUCAACAAGUCUAUGCAUUGACCAUCUCCAUACAACAGCUUCAACAAACAGUGGAGAGGCAAUGAUAGCAAGAAUCGGCUCAUCAAGCAACUCCAUCAUAGCAUAGCCGCCAGUCCCAUCCCAAGAGCCCGAGAUGAGUCCCACAUCGAGCACACCAUUUUGAGCCAACCACUCAUCGAUCUUCUUCUUGCCGAUGGAGUUCCAAGAGAGGGGAUCAAUGUCGGCAAACCUUAGAGUCCUUAUGAAGAGAUUUGACUCCAGUCUAUUCCCUCGGCCCGAUGGUUCUCGGUGCAAGGAUGAUCACAAGUGGAUGGUUUGGAAAAUCAAGUGAUGGCUAGAAGUAUUCCAAGAGGGGAGCCAGAAAUAAGAUAAUGAUCUCGACUUCAACUCUUCCAUCAUUUCUCUCAGAGGAUAUUGGAGGAGCCAAUUCUAUCUCGCUUUAAAAUACUAUAGAUGGAGCCAUAUGAUGCCUCUCUAGAUCUGUUCAACCACCCAAGGGCUAUAAAGCCCUCAUGAUACUCCAAGGGGGCUUCGAUGCCCAUGCUCAAAAAGUCGGUGCAGGCAUGGUACUCUAUUCUCUAAUUGGGGAUCAUUCACUCAUUUGAUCGAUUCGCAAAGCAGUUCGUUGCGGGCUUUGAUAGCAAUUGGUCAUAGUCAGUGAACUUAGAUAGCCUCUUCUCAAUCCAAUAGAAGGAAGGGGAGUUACUGCAUGAUUAUGUGGCUCAUUUUAAUGUGGCCAUGCUUGAAGUUCAAAACCUUAGUAAGUUGGUUGCGAUGUCAACCCUCAAGCGGGGACUUCAGAAUAUCCAUCUCAUUUUCUCCUUCGAUAAAAAUUUUUGGAAAGAUUAUGUCGAUCUCUUCAUGCGAGCUCGAAAGUAUGCACAAGCUAUGGAGGCAGUAGUCAUACAACGAUAGGCUGAGGAAGGUAGGGCCACGAAUAAGAAGUGAGCUCGAGAGGAGCCCCAUGGAGCUUGGAAUGAAGGCAAGUCCUCUUGCUAAUAGAAGAACCAGAGAUUGAGGAGCCUGCCUUGACGGUUCGAUACUUACACCCCUCUGUCCACUCCUCGAACCCAGAUUCUAAUAGAGAUUGAGAAUCAGGAGUAUCUUUGUCGCCCCGAUUGAUGAACAUCCCAUCUACGAGGAGAAGAAAAAGAAAGUACUGUCAUUUCUAUCGUGAUCACGGCUAGGACACCAAGGAUUACUUUCAACAUAAAGAUGAGAUCAAGGCCCUGAUUCAGGUGGGUACCUUGGCAAGGACGUCUGAUAAAGGGAGUACUAGACAUCUGAAGAUCUAGCUUAGCAUCAGUCUAAAAAGGAGAACAAUAGCAAUCAACUUAUGGCUGGCGUCAUCAACAUGAUCACCAAGCUUGCCAGCUAAAAUGAAGCAAAAGUUGAGUUGAUAAUCGACCACAAAAGAGGCAGUGCAUAGGAGAUGUAAUUUCUUUUUCCAAUGAUGAUCUUUGGAGAGUACAAGCUCCUUAUGAUGAUAUUGUCAUCAUGUCAAUGAGAAUAACAAAUCAUGAUAUAAAAUGAAUCUUGAUUGAUAAU